GAUUGAGAAGUCUGCUGGACAUAUCACAAGUGCGAAUGCUGACAUGAGUAACGAUAAUGGGAGUGAAAAACUCCCACGCCGGAAGACCAAGGUUUCCUGUCCCAUGCUAAUCAGGGCAGGGUAAGUCGGCCCCUAAGGCGAGGCAGAAAUGCGUAGUCGAUGGGAAACGGAUUAAUAUUUCCGUACUUAUAUAAUCAGUGAUGGAGGGACGGAGAAGGCUAAACAAGCUUGGCGUUGGUAGUCCAAGUGAAAGUGUGUAGGCCGAGAACUUAGGUAAAUCCGGGUUCUUAAAGCUGAGACACGAGACGAGCCACUACGGUGGUGAAGUUGUUGAUGCCCUGCUUCCAGGAAAAGCUUCUAAACUUAUGAUUAUAUGAACCGUACCCCAAACCGACACAGGUGGUCAGGUAGAGAAUACUAAGGCGCUUGAGAGAACUCGGGUGAAGGAACUCGGCAAAAUUGUACCGUAACUUCGGGAGAAGGUACGCCCUUGUUUGUGAUAGGACUUGCUCCUUGAGCGAAUGAGGGCCGCAGUGACCAGGUGGCUGGGACUGUUUAUUAAAAACACAGCACUCUGCUAACUCGCAAGAGGACGUAUAGGGUGUGACACCUGCCCGGUGCCGGAAGGUUAAUUGAUGGGGUUAUCUUCGGAGAAGCUCUUGAUCGAAGCCCCGGUAAACGGCGGCCGUAACUAUAACGGUCCUAAGGUAGCGAAAUUCCUUGUCGGGUAAGUUCCGACCUGCACGAAUGGUGUAACCAUGGCCACGCUGUCUCCACCCGAGACUCAGUGAAAUUGAAAUCGCAGUGAAGAUGCUGUGUACCCGCACCUAGACGGAAAGACCCCGUGAACCUUUACUACAGCUUGGCACUGAACAUUGAACCUACAUGUGUAGGAUAGGUGGGAGGCUUCGAAGCACAGUCGCUAGAUUGUGUGGAGCCGUCCUUGAAAUACCACCCUUGUAUGUUUGAUGUUCUAACAUUGGUCCCUUAUCGGGAUUAUGGACAGUGUCUGGUGGGUAGUUUGACUGGGGCGGUCUCCUCCCAAAUAGUAACGGAGGAGCACGAAGGUUAGCUAAUCACGGUCGGACAUCGUGAGGUUAGUGCAAUGGCAUAAGCUAGCUUAACUGCGAGACAGACACGUCGAGCAGGUACGAAAGUAGGUCAUAGUGAUCCGGUGGUUCUGUAUGGAAGGGCCAUCGCUCAACGGAUAAAAGGUACUCCGGGGAUAACAGGCUGAUACCGCCCAAGAGUUCAUAUCGACGGCGGUGUUUGGCACCUCGAUGUCGGCUCAUCACAUCCUGGGGCUGAAGUCGGUCCCAAGGGUAUGGCUGUUCGCCAUUUAAAGUGGUACGCGAGCUGGGUUUAGAACGUCGUGAGACAGUUCGGUCCCUAUCUGGUGUGGGCGUUGGAUGAUUGAUGGGAGCUGCUCCUAGUACGAGAGGACCGGAGUGGACGAACCGCUGGUGUUCGGGUUGUCAUGCCAAUGGCAUUGCCCGGUAGCUACGUUCGGAACGGAUAACCGCUGAAAGCAUCUAAGCGGGAAGCCGGCCCAAAGAUGAGUCAUCCCUGACUUUUAAAGUCCGGAAGGGUUGUUAUAGACGAUGACGUUGAUAGGCAGGAUGUGGAAGCGUUGUAAGGCGUUAAGCUAACCUGUACUAAUUGCCCGAGAGGCUUAACCAU
rnacentral:rRNA from 1 species